rnacentral:lncRNA from 1 species
AGACAGACAGACAGACAGACAGACAGACAGACAGACAGACAGACAGACAGACAGACAGACAGACAGACAGACAGACAGACAGACAGACAGACAGACAGACAGACAGACAGAGGAAAGAAUGCCCUUGUUCCCCCAAAACAAAGAAAAUAGCACAGGCAUAUAAAAAGGAGGUGAGGAGGAGGGAAGAGAUUGGAGCACGAGAAGAGCCUGUUCUGGCAUCAUAAAGAUGGUCCGACCCACCAUUUUGAGGGAUAUUUCUAAAAAACAAAAAGGGAGUAAGAGUUACUAGCAGAGUUCCAUAUGUUAUUGUUAAGUGCCAAUUCAAAACUGUAAAUACACUUCUGAUCUAAACCCCAGGAGGAUGGGGAACUCGUUGUGACAGGGACACAUCUAGAGACUGCUGUUAAUAUUCUGUAUGUGCUUGUGAAAUAUUUUGUGAAAAAAUGGUACUAUAGGAGGUUGAUGGAAAAUCACGCUUAAAGAGGAUUGGGAGCUGGGGACUUUCGGUACAGUUUCUAAAAUGUCCAAACCGGCAAGUGCAGCUCAGGAUUAGUUCUAAUAAUGAUGAGGUUCUCUUUAAAUGUGAAGCAGAAAGUGUCUGACUGCUUGCACAGCAAGGCAUGUGGCUCUUUCAUCCGAGGAAUUCAAACAGACGUUCAGGUUUCUCUAUCUAAAAGCAAACUCCCCUUUACUCUUCAAGGCUCAAUGAAUUAUGUGUUUUUGUCAGAGACCACAUUUUUUGUUUGGUCUGAAUCUUGCUAUUGGAAUACUUUCAUCCAGAAUGGCUUCUUAUCUAUGGUUAAAUUUGGCUAAACAGUGUCUUCAAACCAUUACAUUUUUCAACAUUUAUGAAACAUUUGUCAAGGUUAGGUAUUUCAUAUUACAUUUGAGACAAGAUACAAGGUAAGAAGUGCAUACAGUACCAUGAAAACAUUCUGCAACAGCAAGGUCACAUGACAAUUGUUUUGUAUUUUGAAAUGAUUUAGUAUUAGCUAUUGGUUCAGCUCAGAAGUGUUAAGAAUGUUUUCUCUGUGUCAUGUGAUUCCAGAAAUGAGUUCUUGUUUAAGAUGUAUUAACUACACUUGCUUUGAGGAUUAUCUUGAAACUAUAUGUUUCAAUAGGAGAGAAGCUGUCCACAACAGCAUUGCUACACCUACUUGAAAACCAAUUUAGAUACAGUAUUUAAAAGAUAGAGACAUUAUUUUCUUAUAUCUUAUUUUAUGAUGGUGGAAGUUAAGAUAUAAUGUAUACUUAUAUACAGUAUGAUAACAAGCUUUUGUAAUGGCUGCAAGGGUACAGUCAGUGUAUGCCACUGUGUGAUCAUCCGUCGCGAGCUCCUUUGUUUCUCCCUGCAUGGUGGUGAAGCUUGAGGCCAUGUUCAGCUCUGGAGCCUCUGAGCCCUGACACAGUGCUGCCUUCCUGUUAUGACACUAACAUGGGGUGAGUUUGUAAAUUCACUCUGGAGUGGCUACCUGCUGCCCAGAACUAGGCCAGGCAGACAGACAUUCUUAAUACCCAGUGAACACAGUAGCGUAAACCGUACAGGAAAUGUCAGCUCCAGCUCGAUGACUGAGUGACUCGGGUUUUCAUCUGCUGCAGAUCCAGGAACCUUUUUGGUUGCUUUGGUGAAGAAAGGGUGCCAUAAGAGCUUGUCAGUGUUACCCACUCCGUCUGUAGUAGCCGUUAGGUAGCGAUGUGUGAGAUGUUACAGAAACUUGAUAGCUGAACAAUGUAUUUUUUUAAUCUAAAGCCUCAUUAUCAGAUGGGGCUGUCUGUGUGCAUCACCCUGGUAUAUUUUUGUGUGAUGUUCAUCAGUAUUUUAAGGCAUUCAUGGUGCUUGUUUGUCCUGUGCACUAUUCAGAUCAUGCAACAAGAGCAGCAGCGUUUUUGAGAAUUGAAUAUGCUUGUUUAGCAUUUGGAAUGUUCUUCCAACUGUUUUCAUGUAUCCAGCCUUGCCAUUUCAACCAAAGCCACCCUUUGACAAAACAAAGAUUUUAUUGUAUUAUGCUUUACUUAAUAAGAAUCCACGGCUUGAAGGUAAAGCAACGACUUAUUACGACAAUGUAUUCUUUUUCAUGAAAUGAAUGCAUAUUAUGCUUUGAGUUAAGUCUUUGGUGUCAUGUUUUCAUGUCACUUUGAUUGUAUAUACAUGUAGGAACAGAUGGCAGAGCAACUCAAUUUAGAGGUCUAGUCAAAUCUCAGAUUAUUCAAAGCGGACGUGUUGGGCAGAGUGUUUAAUGUUUAAAUGUCCUUAAAGACAACUUGCUGACUUAAAUUAUGUAACUGAAUCAAACAUGUCAUGAGCAAAAAACAACCAAUAAAUAUGGACACACUUACAUUGGUAUCGCUCUGCUCUCUUAUUUACUGUUCUGCACUCCUGUAUGCUGCAUAGUAUGUUUACAUCGAAUGAAUGUCCUAAAAUGGGAGCCAUACUCCUGAGCGCACACCAAUUUCACCUACAGGCAGUAAGG